rnacentral:lncRNA from 1 species
UCCUCAGGUGCCCUCAAGUGCUCCAGAUGCCUGAGCUUUGACACAUCUCCAGUGGCCCAUACAAUAUGAUUAAUAUUAGUGUUAUCUCUAAGGUAGUUUUCAACCUGAAAAGACUGAGAUCAGGAGACAGAGGAAACAGUUCUUAAAAUUCUGACAGGAGUAGUAUAGACCCAACUUGAUUCUGCUUCCGUGGCCCCAAACCCAUGCAGGAGACUGUGGGCCUCUGUUCAGCCCAGAGCAGAAAGCAGCCGAGAGGGGAACUUAGGUGAAUAAGGAAAGGAGGACAGCAAAAGGCAUUAAGAUAGGCAGAAGGAGGCCAGAGCAGAGAGAGGCAGGUGUCUGCUGCCUGGGCCAAGGGUAUUAUUGCCUCCAAAAUUUGAUGUGUACACACAGAUGACCUGGAAACUAGCAGUGAGUUGGCUGGGGCAGAGCACAGCUAGGAAUGAGCAGCAUGCAGGCAAGGGAAGGGUCAGGAGAGAAGAGGUGGAGAAGCAAAAGAAAAGGAGGGAGUGUGCUUUGAUUGGAAUGUGUCUCCCAAAAUUCAUGGGUUGGAAAUGUAAUUCCUCAUGUGACAGUGUCAGGAGAUAAGACCUUUAAGAGGUGAUUGGGUCCUGGAGGCGCUGCCCUCAUGAAUUGAUUAAGGCUGUUAUCAUGGAGUUGUUAUAAAGGGGAGAGUUCAGUCCCCAUCCUCUGUGUCUCACAUCCCCACCUUCCCUCCCACCUCUUGCCAUGGGCUGAAAUAGCAGGAGGGCCCUGGCCAGAUGUUGGUGCCACAUCCUUGGACAUCCAGCCUCCAGAGCCGUGAGCCGACAAACUUCCAUUUUUAUAACUGACCUGAUCUCAAGUAUGCUGUUACAGCAGCACACAUGGAUUAAAACGGAGGAUAAGAAGAAGUUGAUUUAGAAAAGCAGUUUUAAAAAAAAGAGGAAAGGCAAGAAAAGAGGAAAGACCUCGUGCCCUUUUCCUUCUUGAAAACCUUCCAAGAAUCCCCAUGGCCCGGAAGGGACAAGCCUUUUCCCAGGCAAUGUCCUCUAGAAUCUGUUGGCAUCAUCUUUUGCCCUGUACUCACACUAGCCCAGCUUCAGAUGAGACACUGGGGUUCUACCUUCACAUUUUUGCCCUGGACUCUUUCUUUUCUCAGAAAACAACUGUGCAUCCUUCAAAUAGCACCUCUUCUGGAGAGCCUUCCUGCAGUCCUCAAGGCAAGCUCACUGAAUUUCUCCCUUAUCUGCCAAGAAAUGUCUACUUUUAAGAUUAUGCUGCAGUGAGACUGAAAAUGGCGGUGGGAGCUGUCCAAGGAGAAAUGGAAUCAGGCCAUGUGUCCAAUUUAAGGAAGUGGGGCCUGGGCCUGAGAACCCCAAGUUCCUGUGGACUUCCAAGUCAUACAGCCAGGAUCCAGGUAAGGAAUACAUGAACGAGGAUAGAUCUAGUACCCUGGGGAAAGGGAGGAAGGAGGCCUCUGAAAAAGAAAUGACAUGGAGGCAGGAGUGGGUUGUGUCAAGUCACUGCACUGAAAUGAUGAAUCAUGCCUGUGAUGGCUCACAUAGCAAGCCUCCAUCGCUGUUUACAGGGGCUAAUGAGGCAUCUGCAGUUACAAAUUCAAGGAGACUGAAUGUUGCUGUGGCUGAGGUGGAAACAAGAAGUCUGAACUGAAAAAAAAAAAAACAAGAGAAACUGGAGGUUGCCUUUUCUAUUAUCUGCCACAAAGAAAAAUUGGACCGAAACCAUUUCUUUGGGAUGUUGAACCUUUUCCCAAACCAUCUUCGAGCAACUCCACAACCUCCCUAGGUACUUCUCCUAGCUGUUCUUGGAUCCCUUAGCCGGAUCCCUAUGACUUCUGUUUCAUUUUUCAUUAUUUUUCACUGCGUGGUGAAGAUGGAAAACAGGCCUCUAUGCCUACCCUAACACCAUCCCUGCAUCUACC